rnacentral:rRNA from 1 species
CGGGGUAGAGUAACGCGUGAGGAACCUGCCUCAAAGAGGGGACAACAGUUGGAAACGACUGCUAAUACCGCAUAAGCCCACGGCUCGGCAUCGAGCAGAGGGAAAAGGAGCAAUCCGCUUUGAGAUGGCCUCGCGUCCGAUUAGCUAGUUGGUGAGGUAACGGCCCACCAAGGCGACGAUCGGUAGCCGGACUGAGAGGUUGAACGGCCACAUUGGGACUGAGACACGGUCCAG